rnacentral:rRNA from 1 species
CCUUUGUACACACCGCCCGUCGCUACUACCGAUUGAAUGGCUCAGUGAGGCCUUGGGACUGGCUCAGAGAGGUCGGCAACGACCACUCAGAGCCGGAAACUUGUUCAAACUUGGUCAUUUAGAGG